rnacentral:tRNA from 2 species
AAAUGAUGGUUCAACCCCUUCCUUUACUA